rnacentral:rRNA from 1 species
AUUGUGCUUGCACAGAUGACGACCGGCGCACGGGUGCGUAACGCGUAUAGAACCUACCUUUUACAGAGGAAUAGCCUUUAGAAAUGAAGAUUAAUGCCUCAUAGUAUUGUAGACUGGCAUCAGUUUAUAAUUAAAGAUUUAUCGGUAAAAGAUGGCUAUGCGUCCUAUUAGUUAGUUGGUAAGGUAACGGCUUACCAAGACAGCGAUAGGUAGGGGUCCUGAGAGGGAGAUCCCCCACACUGGUACUGAGACACGGACCAGACUCCUACGGGAGGCAGCAGUGAGGAAUAUUGGACAAUGGAGGAGACUCUGAUCCAGCCAUGCCGCGUGUAGGAAGAAUGCCCUAUGGGUUGUAAACUACUUUUAUACAGGAAGAAACACUGGUAUGUAUACCAGCUUGACGGUACUGUA